GAUGAACGCUAGCGGCAGGCUUAACACAUGCAAGUCGAGGGGCAGCGUGGAGCAGCAAUGCUCUGACGGCGACCGGCGGAAGGGUGCGUAACACGUGAGCGACUUGCCCGUCACAGGGGGAUAACCGGCGGAAACGGCGACUAAUACCCCAUACGAUGUGAUGCUGCAUGGCAUUGCAUUGAAAGAUUCAUCGGUGGCGGAUAGGCUCGCGGGACAUUAGCUAGACGGCGGGGCAACGGCCCACCGUGGCGACGAUGUCUAGGGGUUCUGAGAGGAAGGCCCCCCACACUGGGACUGAGACACGGCCCAGACUCCUACGGGAGGCAGCAGUGAGGAAUAUUGGUCAAUGGGCGGAAGCCUGAACCAGCCAUGCCGCGUGAAGGACUAAGGCCCUACGGGUCGUAAACUUCUUUAGACGCAGAGCAAUAAGGUCCACGCGUGGACCGAUGAGAGUAUGCGUAGAAUAAGCAUCGG
rnacentral:rRNA from 1 species